UUGAACGCUGGCGGCAGGCCUAACACAUGCAAGUCGAGCGGAUGAAGGGAGCUUGCUCCUGGCUUCAGCGGCGGACGGGUGAGUAAUGCCUAGGAAUCUGCCUGGUAGUGGGGGAUAACGUCCGGAAACGGGCGCUAAUACCGCAUACGUCCUGAGGGAGAAAGUGGGGGAUCUUCGGACCUCACGCUAUCAGAUGAGCCUAGGUCGGAUUAGCUAGUUGGUGGGGUAAGGGCCUACCAAGGCGACGAUCCGUAACUGGUCUGAGAGGAUGAUCAGUCACACUGGAACUGAGACACGGUCCAGACUCCUACGGGAGGCAGCAGUGGGGAAUAUUGGACAAUGGGCGAAAGCCUGAUCCAGCCAUGCCGCGUGUGUGAAGAAGGUCUUCGGAUUGUAAAGCACUUUAAGUUGGGAGGAAGGGCAGUAAGUUAAUACCUUGCUGUUUUGACGUUACCAACAGAAUAAGCACCGGCUAACUUCGUG
rnacentral:rRNA from 1 species